UUCAUUGGCUAAAAAUCCCUCGUCUGUGAUUGGCUGCAGUCAGACGUCAGUCAUGGUUCUGAUCAGUGAUUCGCUUGCAGUGAUGUCAAUCAAGCAGGUUCUGAUCAGUGAUUGGCUGCAGCGAUCAGUCUAUACGUUUCGCGGGAAAUCUCAUAAAACUGCGGCAACGAGGUGAAGCGGAUUAAGCAAUUCAUGAACAGGUAAGAAACACUUUUAAAAACCUUAGUUUAGGUUUUAAAUACUCAAAGCCAUUUCUGUGACAAAUAGAGGACACAUUCAGGGCUUCGGUCUGCUGCAGCUAAUGGUAACGUUAGUUAAUGUCGUCGCCGAGCUAAUGUAGUCGCCGAGUUAAUGUAGUCGACGAGAGUUAGUUGUUUAGACGGUAACGUUAGCGUUAUCCAAUAUUUUUGACAGUGACAACGUGGUGUUGACACACGCCGACUCGGUGCUCAACGAGACGGCGUGUGAAGGGGCCGCGGCCUCGGUGCUCACCGAGUACCACACGCCGCCUCGGUGAGCACCGAGGCGGCGUGUGACGGCGGCGCGGCGCACAUUGCCAGCUGUGUUUAUAGCCUGUUUAUAACCUGUGCUGUGCGUCUCAACCAGUGAUGUGACUAACGGCGUUAAAAUAAAACGGCGUUGCUAAGGGCGUUAUUUUUUCAUUGACGGAUAAUCUAAUUGUUUCCACGCCGUUACCGACGAUUUGAUGUGGCGAAAAGUAACGCGCUCACCACUGGUCUCAGAGGAUCCAACACUGAAGAAGAGACGUGACACCAGUUUUUUCAGUUUACGGGUCAUUCAGUGAAACCCAUGUUAAAUGUUGAGACAGAAUAUCUAACGUGAUUUGGCAUGAAAUAUAGGUUACAUGUGAUGUGACAGGUAGUUUGAAAUGUAAUGUUAUUGUCUGGGCAUUUUUACAGCAAAGAUGACAGAGAGAAGGAGAGGGAGGAGAAAAACUCCUGAUCAGGAUGCUAUUGACCACAUUACCAUUGGAGAAGACAAAUCUUUCCUGGAAGGAAGAUUUAUUAACACACAUAAAGGGAGAGGUGUGCUUACACAAGACUACAUUGAACCAAAAAGUUUUGUGGUGGAGUAUCGUGGAGUUUUGUCUCUGAGCGACAGUGCAGAUGACAAAAACAGCAAAUAUGCAUUUGAGUUCAUGUGGAAUGGGAAGCACUAUUGCAUAGAUGCUUCAAAAGAGGACGGAACACUGGGACGACUAGUGAAUGAUGAUCACAUACAUCCCAACUGCAAAGUCAAGAGGAUAAUGGUCAAAGGAAGGCCACACUUGUGUCUAUUUUCCAUCAAGGAAAUCUUUCCAGGCGAGGAGAUAACAUUUAACUAUGGUGAUUCCUCUUGGCCAUGGCGCUCAGUGGUGAGUUAAGGUCCACGGGGUCUCUUAUAAAAUUAACAAAUCAUAGUAUGUUAUUUUUAUUACUGUUAACCAAUAAAUGGCAUUAGUGGACCUGUUAUUGUCCUGAAUAUCAGCCCAGCUGCGAUUUGGUUGUAGAGAUGAGGCCACAGGCAAAGAGCAAGAGCACGAGUGUGAUAUUGCUUAAUUAACAAAUAUUUGAACAGGUUCACAGCAUUAGGUGAGGUAGAAGGUCAGCUGGGUCAUUGUAGAUGUUGUUUUAUUUCUUUAUUUAGUUUAUAAAGGACAGUGUGCACUUAAAUUAAUCAUUCAUGAGAAUGUGUACAUCUGCAUAACUGUGAAAACGUUGAGAUUGUAGAAAUUGGUUGUAGACCUACACAUUUUAUGCUACAUGACUCAUUACUCCCAUCUUCUUUUUCUUAAUGACUACUAAGUGAAAACGCUGCCAGACAAGUGACUAGUACAUUUCCUCUGUACUAUUUCAGGCACCCUGUGAAGAACCAUCUGACCCAAACUUGAUGAAAAGUGAGCCAGUCUCAGAAAAGGCAAGUUGUGAUUUGCACCACCACAGUCACUUGCUGUAUCACCUUCAAUACGUUAUAAAUGGUUCUGGUCCUUCAAAGUCUAUAUGACAGGCUCAUUACUCCUGUCUUCCUUCUUUCUGCUGACUAUUAACUAACAUUUCUGCCAUACACAUGGUUGGU